rnacentral:rRNA from 1 species
UACGUAGGCAGCAAGCGUUGUUCGGAAUUACUGGGCGUAAAGAGUGUGUAGGCGGUGUUCUAAGUUUGUCGUGAAAUCUCCCGGCUUAACUGGGAGGGUGCGGCGAAAACUGGAAUGCUAGAGGAUGGGAGAGGUAAGCGGAAUUCCUGGUGUAGCGGUGAAAUGCGUAGAUAUCAGGAGGAACACCAGUGGCGAAGGCGGCUACCUGGCACAUAACUGACGCUGAUACGCGAAAGCGUGGGGAGCGAACCGG